rfam:Onchocerca flexuosa genome assembly, scaffold: OFLC_contig0035515
UUUCUUUCAGAAUAGCUAGAGUACAUAAUGAAGCAGUUAUAUUCGGUAAAGUAAAUGAUUAGAGGAAUUGUGGGACGAAGCGUCUUCAACUUAUUCUCAAACUUUCAAUAAAUUUAAAGCAU